UACGUAGGGGCCGAGCGUUGUCCGGAGUUAUUGGGCGUAAAGCGCGCGCAGGCGGCCUCGCGCGCCCGACGUGAAAGCCCCCGGCUUAACCGGGGAGGGUCGUUGGGGACGGCGGGGCUUGAGGGCGGGAGAGGCGAGUGGAAUUCCUGGUGUAGCGGUGAAAUGCGCAGAUAUCAGGAGGAACACCGAUGGCGAAGGCAGCUCGCUGGGACGGUACUGACGCUGAGGCGCGAAAGCGUGGGGAGCAAACAGG
rnacentral:rRNA from 1 species